GGAUGUUGAAAGAACAAGAUUAGAAGACCAGCAAUGAUGAAGUUUAAGGAAGAGACACAUGGAUACACCGAUGAUAAUGGGCACAGAAAUUGAGAAUAGGAAACAGUGAAAAGACGGCCAUCUGCAAACCAAGAAGAGGGUUCCUGACCAACACCAGAUCUGCCAGUCCCUGAGUCUUGGACCUUUGAGCCUCCAGAAUUGUGAGAAGUCACACUCCCUUGGUCUGAUUAACUUUUGGCGAUCCAUCACCAACUGGACUGGAACUUUCUCUGAGCUGCUGUUACUGCAAAAAUACCAGAAACUAACAACUUGAAGGAUUUAAUUGGAGAUGAAGGAAAACUGUAUUGAGAGAUAACACCUCUCCAUGUAAGAAGCAAAGAAAAGGCAUGUUUCUCUUUUCUGUGUAUUAUUAGAACUUGUCUGCCCUCCUCAGCGCAUCAGCACUAAUGAUGCUGAAGUCCAUGAAAGAUAAUUGCCUUGAGUCAUUCUCUAGCCACAGAGAAGGUAAGAUUAAUAAAGAACAUUUGUUAUAAUUUUGCAACCAAUUUAUAUAAUGGAACUCAUAAUAAAUAACCACAUUUAACACAAGCAUUCAUCAAAGCCAAUUUACACAUCAAUUUGUUCACUAUGUGUUAAACCAACCAUUUGUAUGAAUAAGUUGGUUUCUUCCUGUGUCCCCUUUUCUCUUUAUUAAAGUAGAAAUUAUUGUUAGAUAUGGUAAUUUGGGGGGCUUUUAUAGAGGCAGCAUUGAUAAUGAUAUAUGUUGACUUCUCAGCUGUUGCUACAUGAUGUAUAAUUUUGCACAGCAUGUUGCUUCUGUC